ACAUAAUGGAGACGUGGGGUACCAAAAACAGAAAAUAUUGACCAUGUUGAGCCAGUGAGCUGUCUUGGUCAGCACCCAGGUGUAUCCAUCAACACGGGCACGUUAUAUCAAAAUGCAGAUAUGCAUUCCAGGAUGGUGACUGAAGCUCAUCUUUGUAAACACCUAUAUGCCUAGAAUGGACUCCAAAACAGAUUAUUAAAGUUUAACCAGUAUAAUCUUGAAUAUGGACAAAAAGUAUACACUUGGAACACAAACAAAAACAGAUGAGUCCAUGCCAAGCUA